GAUGAAGAACGUAGCGAAAUGCGAUACGUAAUGUGAAUUGAAGAAUUCAGUGAAUCAUCGAAUCUUUGAACGCAUAUUGCGCUCUUUGGUAUUCCGAAGAGCAUGCUUGUUUGAGUAUCAGUAAACACCUCAAAGACUUCAAUUUGUUUUGAAUGGCUUUGGACUUGAGCAAUCCCAACACCAGUCUUUACGAUCGGUGGAGGGUUGCUUGAAAUGCAGGUGCAGCUGGACAUUCUCCUGAGCUAAAAGCAUAUUUAUUUAGUCCCGUCAAACGGAUUAUUACUUUUGCUGCAGCUAACAUAAAGGGAGUUUGACCGUAUUGGCUGACUGAUGCAGGAUUUCACAAGGGUCGGCAACGAUUCUUGUAAAACUCGAUCUCAAAUCAAGUAAGACUACCCGCUGAACUUAAGCAUAUCAAUAAGCGGAGGA
rnacentral:misc_RNA from 1 species